GAUCCUGGCUCAGGACGAACGCUGGCGGCGUGCUUAACACAUGCAAGUCGAACGGAAAGGCCCUGCUUGCAGGGUACUCGAGUGGCGAACGGGUGAGUAACACGUGGGUGAUCUGCCCUGCACUUCGGGAUAAGCCUGGGAAACUGGGUCUAAUACCGGAUAGGAGCCAUUUUUAGUGUGAUGGUUGGAAAGUUUUUUCGGUGUAGGAUGAGCUCGCGGCCUAUCAGCUUGUUGGUGGGGUAAUGGCCUACCAAGGCGGCGACGGGUAGCCGGCCUGAGAGGGUGGACGGCCACAUUGGGACUGAGAUACGGCCCAGACUCCUACGGGAGGCAGCAGUGGGGAAUAUUGCACAAUGGGCGCAAGCCUGAUGCAGCGACGCCGCGUGGGGGAUGACGGCCUUCGGGUUGUAAACUCCUUUCGCUAGGGACGAAGCUUUUUGUGACGGUACCUAGAUAAGAAGCACCGGCUAACUACGUGCCAGCAGCCGCGGUAAUACGUAGGGUGCGAGCGUUGUCCGGAAUUACUGGGCGUAAAGGGCUCGUAGGUGGUUUGUCGCGUCGUCUGUGAAAUUCCGGGGCUUAACUCCGGGCGUGCAGGCGAUACGGGCAUAACUUGAGUACUGUAGGGGUAACUGGAAUUCCUGGUGUAGCGGUGAAAUGCGCAGAUAUCAGGAGGAACACCGAUGGCGAAGGCAGGUUACUGGGCAGUUACUGACGCUGAGGAGCGAAAGCAUGGGUAGCGAACAGGAUUAGAUACCCUGGUAGUCCAUGCCGUAAACGGUGGGCGCUAGGUGUGAGGGUCUUUUCACGACUUUCGUGCCGUAGCUAACGCAUUAAGCGCCCCGCCUGGGGAGUACGGCCGCAAGGCUAAAACUCAAAGGAAUUGACGGGGGC
rnacentral:rRNA from 1 species